GAUGAACGCUGGCGGCGUGCCUAAUACAUGCAAGUCGAGCGAACGGACGAGAAGCUUGCCUCUCUGAUGUUAGCGGCGGACGGGUGAGUAACACGUGGAUAACCUACCUAUAAGACUGGGAUAACUUCGGGAAACCGGAGCUAAUACCGGAUAAUAUUUUGAACCGCAUGGUUCAAAAGUGAAAGACGGUCUUGCUGUCACUUAUAGAUGGAUCCGCGCUGCAUUAGCUAGUUGGUAAGGUAACGGCUUACCAAGGCAACGAUGCAUAGCCGACCUGAGAGGGUGAUCGGCCACACUGGAACUGAGACACGGUCCAGACUCCUACGGGAGGCAGCAGUAGGGAAUCUUCCGCAAUGGGCGAAAGCCUGACGGAGCAACGCCGCGUGAGUGAUGAAGGUCUUCGGAUCGUAAAACUCUGUUAUUAGGGAAGAACAUAUGUGUAAGUAACUGUGCACAUCUUGACGGUACCUAAUCAGAAGGCCACGGCUAACUACGUG
rnacentral:rRNA from 1 species